CUUAAUUACAAUCCAAGCACAAGUUUGACUACAGAAUCAACUAUGAAUUCGAUUGAUAAACUACAUGCAAGCAGUCUGCAAAUCUAACAAAUAACCAUACUAUACUACUUUAACCAUACACUAAUCAACUUCAUAAAAACAAGUUUUAUUUGAUAAGGUAACAAUUCACCACGAAUGUUAACAUACUUGCUUAUUGCUACACUAGGUCAUGUUGCGCCUUGUUCGAUUAACACUGUACUAGAACAAGCACAACCAACACAUGUUGCCGCUAUUCGUUUCGCAUUAAUACAUCGCAAAAUCAGUAUAAAAAGGCACCACUCUUCAGCAUCACACUACACUGUGUCCAAAGAUCGGCCGGGCAAAAUGAAACUACUAUUCCACCUUCUUCUCAUCGUGCUCAUCGUAGCAACAUGCUUCACAUGUGAGGCUGUAACUGCUCCCAGCCAAGUCGUAAAGCGUGAAGCAAUGCGCCAAUGUGUGAUGUGGGAGGGAAAGCUAAUGUGUCCAACUGGCUGGAUUCCUGGAGGAUAAUUCCAUUGCUAUCCGCGAUAGCAACAAUCACAACAUGAUUUGAUUAAAAAAAACAAACAAUAAAAGUUUUUAUUAAUUCUGCAGAAA